ensembl:rRNA 5S_rRNA 5S ribosomal RNA
GUUUACAGCCAUACCACCCUGAAUGCACCCUAUCUCGUUUGAUCUCUGAAGCUAAGCAGGGUUGGACCUGGUUAGUACUUGGAUGGGAGCAAUCUAUAACUAAAUAGGCCCUAAAGU